CGGUGCCGGGCCGGGCCGGUGCGGUCGUGACCUACCGCGUCACGAGCGGACGGUUCGACCGCGUCUGAGCCGUC
rnacentral:tRNA from 1 species